UACGUAGGUGGCAAGCGUUAUCCGGAAUUACUGGGCGUAAAGGGCACGCAGGCGGCUGUCAAAGUCUGACGUGAAAGCUCCUGGCUUAACUGGGAGAGGUCGUUGGAAACUGGAUGGCUUGAGGCAAUGAGAGGGGUGCGGAAUUACCGGUGUAGUGGUGGAAUGCGUAGAUAUCGGUAGGAACACCAGUGGCGAAGGCGGCACCCUGGCAUUGACCUGACGCUCAUGUGCGAAAGCGUGGGGAGCGAACGGG
rnacentral:misc_RNA from 1 species